GGGCUGUCUUCAGGCUCCCAACAGUUUCCAGAGAGUAAAAGCUGAUGGUCCUACUGAGGUGUGAAGGACAGUGACGGACAGUGAUGGAAGGUGAUGGACAGAGGAGGACAGUGAUGGACAGAGGAGGACAGUGAUGGACAGAGGAGGGCAGUGAUGGACAGUGACGGGCAGUGAUAGACAGCAACAGAGAGUGGAGGACAGUGAUGAACAGCAACAGACAGUGGAGGGCAGUGAUGGACAGUGGAGGACAUUGGAGGAUAGCAGAGGACAGUGAGGGACAGCAGAGGACAGUGAUGGACAGCGGAGGACAGUGAUGGACAGCAGAGGACAGUGAUGGACUGCGGAGGACAGCGAUGGACAGCGGAGGACGGCGAUGGACAGCGGAGGACGGCGAUGGAGAGCGGAGGACGGCGAUGGAGAGCGGAGGACGGCGAUGGAGAGCGGAGGACGGCGAUGGAGAGCGGAGGACGGCGAUGGACAGCGGAGGACGGUGAUGGACAGUGGAGGACGGUGAUGGACAGAGGAGGACGGUGUGGACAGCGGAGGACGGUGAUGGACAGCGGAGGAUGGUGAAGGACAGAGAAGGACAGCAAUGGAAGGACAGGCACCCCAGUCAGCACAAACACAGGCCGAGUGGGGCCCAUGCAUUUCUGGGAGGACUGGCAAGCUGGGAAAGGCCUCCAGGGCAGGGAAACUCAGGAGAGUGACAGCUUGUUCAGGCCAGGACCUUGUGCAUCUUCUCCUUUUUUCUUUCUUAGUAAACCCAGUGUAUUCAUUUCUAGUGGCUG
rnacentral:lncRNA from 1 species